rnacentral:rRNA from 1 species
UACGUAGGGACCAAGCGUUGUCCGGAAUUAUUGGGCGUAAAGAGCUCGUAGGCGGUGUGUCGCGUCGGCCGUGAAAACCUGCAGCUUAACUGUGGGCGUGCGGUCGAUACGGGCAUCACUGGAGUUCGGCAGGGGAGACUGGAAUUCCUGGUGUAGCGGUGAAAUGCGCAGAUAUCAGGAGGAACACCGGUGGCGAAGGCGGGUCUCUGGGCCGAUACUGACGCUGAGGAGCGAAAGCGUGGGGAGCGAACAGG